rnacentral:rRNA from 1 species
UACGAAGGGGGCGAGCGUUGUUCGGAGUUACUGGGCGUAAAGGGCGCGUAGGCGGCGAUCCAAGUUAGGCGUGAAAGCCCCGGGCUUAACCUGGGAAUUGCGCUUAAGACUGGACUGCUUGAGUGCGGGAGAGGUGAGUGGAAUUCCCAGUGUAGAGGUGAAAUUCGUAGAUAUUGGGAAGAACACCAGUGGCGAAGGCGGCGACCUGGGUAGAUACUGACGCUGAGGUGCGAAAGCGUGGGGAGCAAACAGG